rnacentral:rRNA from 1 species
AGAAUGACUCUCGGCAACGGAUAUCUUGGCUCUUGCAUCGAUGAAGAACGUAGCGAAAUGCGAUACUUGGUGUGAAUUGCAGAAUCCCGUGAACCAUCGAGUCUUUGAACGCAAGUUGCGCCUGAGGCCACUAGGUCGAGGGCACGUCUGCCUAGGUGUCACAC